rnacentral:rRNA from 1 species
AAAUGAAUAGACGGGGGCCCGCACAAGCAGCGGAGCAUGUGGUUUAAUUCGAAGCAACGCGAAGAACCUUACCAGGGCUUGACAUCCCGAUGACGUACCUAGAGAUAGGUAUUCCCUUCGGGGCAUUGGAGACAGGUGGUGCAUGGUUGUCGUCAGCUCGUGUCGUGAGAUGUUGGGUUAAGUCCCGCAACGAGCGCAACCCCUAUUUUUAGUUGCUAACAGGUGAAGCUGAGCACUCUAGAGAGACUGCCGGGGAUAACUCGGAGGAAGGUGGGGACGACGUCAAAUCAUCAUGCCCCUUAUGUCCUGGGCUACACACGUGCUACAAUGGCCUGAAACAGCGGGAAGCGAAGCCGCAAGGUGGAGCGAAUCCGACAAACCAGGUCUCAGUUCGGAUUGUGGGCUGCAACUCGCCCACAUGAAGUUGGAGUUGCUAGUAAUCGCGAAUCAGCAUGUCGCGGUGAAUGCGUUCCCGGGCCUUGUACACACCGCCCGU